rnacentral:rRNA from 1 species
AUUGAACGCUGGCGGCAGGCCUAACACAUGCAAGUCGAGCGGUAGAGAGAAGCUUGCUUCUCUUGAGAGCGGCGGACGGGUGAGUAAUGCCUAGGAAUCUGCCUAGUGGUGGGGGAUAACGUUCGGAAACGGACGCUAAUACCGCAUACGUCCUACGGGAGAAAGCGGGGGAUCUUCGGACCUCGCGCCAUUAGAUGAGCCUAGGUCGGAUUAGCUAGUUGGUGAGGUAAUGGCUCACCAAGGCGACGAUCCGUAACUGGUCUGAGAGGAUGAUCAGUCACACUGGAAAUGAGACAGGGUCCAGACUCCUACGGGAGGCUGAAGUGGGGAAUAUUGGACAAUGGGCGAAAGCCUGAUCCAUCCAGGCCGCGUGUGUGAAGAAGGUCUUCGGAUUGUAAAGCACUUUAAGUUGGGAGGAAGUGCAGUAACCUAAUACGUUAUUGUUUUGACGUUACCGACAGAAUAAGCACCGGCUAACUUCGUGCCAGCCGCCGCCGUAAAAC